UGGGGAAUUUUGGACAAUGGGCGAAAGCCUGAUCCAGCAAUGCCGCGUGUGUGAAGAAGGCCUUCGGGUUGUAAAGCACUUUUGUCCGGAAAGAAAUCCUUGGCUCUAAUACAGUCGGGGGAUGACGGUACCGGAAGAAUAAGCACCGGCUAACUACGUGCCAGCAGCCGCGGUAAUACGUAGGGUGCAAGCGUUAAUCGGAAUUACUGGGCGUAAAGCGUGCGCAGGCGGUUUGCUAAGACCGAUGUGAAAUCCCCGGGCUCAACCUGGGAACUGCAUUGGUGACUGGCAGGCUAGAGUAUGGCAGAGGGGGGUAGAAUUCCACGUGUAGCAGUGAAAUGCGUAGAGAUGUGGAGGAAUACCGAUGGCGAAGGCAGCCCCCUGGGCCAAUACUGACGCUCAUGCACGAAAGCGUGGGGAGCAAACAGGAUUAGAUACCCUGGUAGUCCACGCCCUAAACGAUGUCAACUAGUUGUUGGGGACUUCAUUUUCCUUAGUAACGUAGCUAACGCGUGAAGUUGACCGCCUGGGGAGUACGGUCGCAAGAUUAAAACUC
rnacentral:rRNA from 1 species